AUACAGAGGGUGCGAGCGUUAAUCGGAAUUACUGGGCGUAAAGGGCGCGUAGGUGGGUGGUCAAGUCAGCUGUGAAAGCCCUGGGCUCAACCUGGGAACUGCAGUUGAAACUGGCUGUCUAGAGUCGAAUAGAGGGGAGCGGAAUUUCCGGUGUAGCGGUGAAAUGCGUAGAUAUCGGAAGGAACAUCAGUGGCGAAGGCGGCUCUCUGGAUUCAGACUGACACUGAGGCGCGAAAGCGUGGGUAGCGAACAGGAUUAGAAACCCCAGUAGUCC
rnacentral:rRNA from 1 species